rnacentral:rRNA from 1 species
AGUGAACGCUGGCGGUAGGCCUAACACAUGCAAGUCGAACGGCAGCACAGUAAGAGCUUGCUCUUACGGGUGGCGAGUGGCGGACGGGUGAGGAAUACAUCGGAAUCUACUUUUUCGUGGGGGAUAACGUAGGGAAACUUACGCUAAUACCGCAUACGACCUACGGGUGAAAGCAGGGGAUCUUCGGACCUUGCGCGAUUGAAUGAGCCGAUGUCGGAUUAGCUAGUUGGCGGGGUAAAGGCCCACCAAGGCGACGAUCCGUAGCUGGUCUGAGAGGAUGAUCGCCCACACUAGAACUGAGACACGGUCCAGGCUCCUACGGGAGGCAGCAGUGGGGAAUAUUGGACAAAGGGCGCAAGCCUGAUCCAGCCAUACCGCGUGGGUGAAGAAGGCCUUCGGGUUGUAAAGCCCUUUUGUUGGGAAAGAAAAGCAGCAGGUUAAUACCCCGCUGUUCUGACGGUACCCAAAGAAUAAGCACCGGCUAACUUCGUG